rfam:Gossypium raimondii Chr01_contig_19, whole genome shotgun sequence.
UAUUAAAAAUUUCAUCUAUUUUUACUAUUAAAAACUGGCGUGGCAAACAAAAUAACCAGGCAAUUGCACCUGGUGUGCGGGCGUACCUCAAACUGGCAUACAUGAACCAGCUUUUAACAAUAGAAAAUUGAUGAAAUUUUUAACA